CAUCUCUUUUAGGAUAAGAUGUAUUAGGGGACUUUCAAUAAGAGCGAUCGCAUUUUAGCAUAGUGUAAAAUGUAUAUUAAUUUAUUUUCCACUACAGCGUCCUGAGUCUUUGAAACUAUCGAUCGAGAAUCGCCAAGAGAAUGUCUUACUACUAAAAAUUAUGGAAAAUAUAUAGGGAAGAAGCAAGAUAGAGAGACUGUUUCUAAGGUUUUCAGAAGAAAAAAAAGAGACUGUUAUACAAAAAAAGAGACAUGUCUUGAUUCUGGUUUGAAUUGAAUCGUCUAAGAAGAAGAUGGGUCAUCUGUUUAAUGAGUUGUUGUUUGUUGUAUUUUAUGUUUGUGUUUCUUGUUCUGCUUAUGGCAUGGAGUCAUUGUAUUUCAAAAGUUAAUGAAUUUUAAGUUUGAAUUUUCAGAAAUUAAGUUUCAUGGCUUUGUGCUCUAUUUUUGUGUUAAGGAAUCUACUUUGAACACUGCAGAUGGCUGAAUGGGACGAGCUGGCUAGUUGCAUUGAGAACAAUGAUCCUCUGUUUGUCUUGAAAGAAUGGAGAAGGUCAUGAAAUUCUUGUGGUCAGGCCACAAAGUCACGGGUGUUGCAGUGUUGUAAACUUUGUAUUUUAUGAAUUUUGUAUUCUUGUGGUCAGACGAAUCAUGUAAAGCUUUGUGUGGUCAGGCCAUGAAUCAGGUAAAGUUUCUUGUUGUAUCACGGACUAGCAAAAGUUAGACAAUAUAAGUUUUAUAAAUAAUACAUUUUCUCCAUUCUUUGUUUUUCAUUCUCUAAACAAACAUCUCUAAAUAAUAUCUCUUCUCCAUUCUCUUUUUUUUUCCAUUCUCCUUCUCAUGUUCAUUCAUUUUAUUCACUUCUUUCAUCUAAAUCUAAAACAAUUUCCACACAUAUAUGGCAUCUUCCUCCCACAACUCUCUUGAGGGACCAAUUGAUGAAAUUUUCGAUCAAUAUUUUGAUCAAUAUUUCGAUCAGUAUUUUGAUCAAUAUUUCGAUCAAUAUUUUGAUAAACAUUUUGAUCAAACGUUCGAAAAUCUGGUAUCAAAAGUUGAAAGGAGGGCAAUGAAGAAGAUGUUAGACGAUGGAUUCGAAGACAAGGCCAAAGACCAGAGGAAACUGAAGUGUAAGAAACUUGCGGAUAAAGGGAUGCUUAAGAAACGGAGCAAAUCGAGAAAAUCCGCUGAAGAAAACUGAUGACUAAAAUCAUUUUCAAAUUUAGUUCUCUUUUGCAGUUUGAUCAGUAAAUCUCUGAAAAUCGAUGUUUAUUAAUGUUCUUACUUUUUAGUCUUUGAAUUUGAUUGUUUGCAUCCUCAAAUCUUUUGGUAAGAAACAAUGUAUUAGUCGCCACAAGUUCUUUUUUCACAUUAGUAAGAGCAAUACCAUGAGGUGAAGUGCAUUUCUUAUGCAUCAGUCACAAGUUCUUUUCCA